GCCACUGCCACGCCAGGGCCCUGGCCAUCCUGCGGGCACGGCCAGGCGGGGCCGACGGCAGGGUUCACACCAAGGAGGCCAUCGCCUACCUGUCUCUGGCCAUCUUUGCCGCAGGAAGCCAGGCAAGUGAGUCCCUCCUUGCCCGAGCCCGCUGCUAUGGGUUCCUGGGCCAGAAGAAGACGGCCAUGUUCGACUUCAACACAGUGCUGCGGGCUGAGCCGGGGAACGUGCAGGCACUGUGUGGACGGGCGUUGGUGCACCUGGCCCUAGACCAGCUGCAGGAAGCCGUGGACGACAUCGUCUCUGCUCUGAAGCUCGGCCCCGGGACUGUGGUCCCUGAGCUCCGCUCUCUGAAGCCGGAAGCCCAGGCCCUCAUCACACAGGGCCUCUACUCCCACUGCCGGGCCCUUCUGAGCCAGCUGCCAGACACUGGGGCCCCUCUCGAGGACAAGGACACCCAGGGCCUCCUUGCUGUGGGGGAGGCGCUGAUCAAAAUCGACUCAGGGCAACCGCACUGGCACCUCCUCCUGGCAGACAUUCUCAUGGCACAGGGCAGCUACGAGGAAGCUGGCACCCACCUGGAAAAAGCCCUGCACCGUGCCCCAACGUCAGAGGCAGCCCGGGCCCGGCUGGGCCUGCUCCAGCUCAAGAAGGGAGACGUGCCAGGGGCUGCAAGGGACCUGCAGAGCCUGGCCGAGGUGGAUGCCCCGGAUCUCAGCUGCCUGCUGCAUCUCCUGGAGGCCUCGGAGCGGCAGAGCCUUGCCCAGGCGGCGGCCCAGGAAGCCGGCACCCUCCUGGACGCAGGGCAACCCAGGCAGGCGCUGGGCUACUGUUCGCUGUCUGUCCUGGCCAGUGGCAGCAGUGCCUGUCACCUGCGUCUGCGGGCCACCUGCCUGGCCGAGCUGCAGGAGUUUGGCCGGGCCCUUAGGGACCUGGACCAUGUGCUCCAGGAGGCGCUGGGGGAUGGUGACCUCCCAAGGCGGGCAGAGGACUUCUGCCGUCAGGGUCGCCUGCUGCUGAGCCUGGGGGAUGAGGCGGCGGCCGCAGGGGCCUUUGCCCAGGCCCUGAAGCUGGCGCCCUCCUUGGCCCAGAACAGCCUGUGCAGGCAGCCAGGCCGGGCCCCCACUGCACGCAUGUUCCUUCUCCGCGGGCAGUGCUGCCUGGAGGAGCAGCGUCACGCAGAGGCCUGGACGGCGGUAGAGAGCGGCCUCCUGGUGGACCCCGACCACCGUGGCCUGAAGAGACUGAAGGCCAGAAUCCGGAGGGAGGCAUCCUCAGGCUGCUGGCUACAGUGACUGGGCCUGACCCUCUCCCAGCCCUAAUCACGGGGGCCACGACCCCCCCUCCUGGCUUCUCUCUCCUCCUGGGCACUUGCAUUUGUCCCAUUUCUCUCUAGGGAAUCAUGGAGGUUGCAACCACAAAAUUCAGAGAGGUGACCUGGCUGGCGACACUGGUGAUAAUGGUCACCUGCCAUGCAGCCUUUCAGCUCAGGUGGGCACACUCCUCUGCCCCUGCCCACUUCCUCUCCCAGGUGAAUCUUGACCACACCUGUGCCUGGCACUGUGCACACAUUCUCUGUUGUUCAACUCUGCGAUCAAUCUGGAAAAAAAAGAAAAAAAAAAAACCUUUUUAGGAGAGUAAAAGGAAAAUAAAUCUUGGGGCCCCAAAAUCACUAAGCCAAAGGGAAAAGUCAAGCUGGGAACUGCUUAGGGCAAGCCUGCCUCCAAUUCCAUUCAAAGUCAUUCCCCCGCUCGCUGAGAUAGAUGCAUAUCUGAUUGCCUUCUUUGGAAAGGCUCAUCAGAAACUCAAAAGAAUGUAACUCUAUCUUACAUGUGUUGAUUGAUGUCUCAUAUCUCCCUAAAAUGUAUAAAACCAAGCUGUCCUCUGACCACCCUGGGCACAUGUCAGGACCUCCUGAGGCUGUGUCACAGGUGUGCAUCCUUAAUUUUGGCAAAAUAAACUUCCCAAAUUGGCUGAGA
rnacentral:misc_RNA from 1 species